UACGAAGGGAGCUAGCGUUGUUCGGAAUCACUGGGCGUAAAGGGCGCGUAGGCGGCCUUGCAAGUCGGUUGGUGAAAGCCCGGGGCUCAACCCCGGAGGUGCGGCCGAGACUGCAGGGCUGGAGGCCGGAAGAGGAGGGUGGAAUACCCAGUGUAGAGGUGAAAUUCGUAGAUAUUGGGUGGAACACCGGUGGCGAAAGCGGCUCUCUGGUCCGGACCUGACGCUGAGGCGCGAAAGCGUGGGGAGCAAACAGG
rnacentral:rRNA from 1 species